AAAUUGAAGAGUUUGAUCAUGGCUCAGAUUGAACGCUGGCGGCAGGCCUAACACAUGCAAGUCGAGCGGCAGCGGGAAAGUAGCUUGCUACUUUUGCCGGCGAGCGGCGGACGGGUGAGUAAUGCCUGGGGAUCUGCCCAGUCGAGGGGGAUAACAGUUGGAAACGACUGCUAAUACCGCAUACGCCCUACGGGGGAAAGAAGGGGACCUUCGGGCCUUUCGCGAUUGGAUGAACCCAGGUGGGAUUAGCUAGUUGGUGGGGUAAUGGCUCACCAAGGCGACGAUCCCUAGCUGG
rnacentral:rRNA from 1 species